rnacentral:misc_RNA from 1 species
AACCCUUCAAGCUCUGCUUGGUGUUGGGCGCUUGUCCCACCUUUGGUGAGGACUCGCCUUGAAGUAGUUGGCGGCCGUUCUGUAGGGCUAUGAGCGCAGUACAUCUCGCUGCUUCAGCUCCCCAGCCAGCGUCCAGCAAGCGCAUACCAAAGAA